GUUUUACUUCACUCCAGAUGGUUGAUGAUCGUGUUGUCGUACAUUACUGCCACCUGCUGGAAUCACUGAUGCACUGCAAUGUCCAUUUCUCCCUCAGAGGCGGAACGUUUCCAUCUCUUCUGCGCACGUCUGAGUUUUGAUUUUUGGCUUUGCCCUGUUAGCAUGAGAGAUGGUACCUACAGCCUUGCUGCAUGUCUCAGCACCGUCUCGAGUGACAUCCCAGGACAGAGGCCACUGCAGGAGAGCUGAACAGUGCCAGUAGGGCUACAAAACGACCUCCAGCAGGGCACUCUUCUCCUCAGACUAUCAGAAUGAGACUCCACGAAGAGGACACCAGGGCGCGAUGUGUGGAGACCUGUGCUUAGAGCCCAGGACUGUGCAGCUCAACCAGAAUUCAGCCAAAAACUCCAGAACAAAAAAGAUAAAAUGCACAAAUGUUUUUCUUUGUUUUAUUUUCACUGAGAGUUAUCAUUUGUGGCUUAUUCACAUACAGUAAAAACGAUGACAUUACACGGUCUCGAAGCUUAUUAGAGCUGUGAAGUAAAAAAGUCUGAAAUUUGCUUAUGAGGAAAACACAGGUUUAUAUAAACUUACAAAAUGCAGUAAAUUCUACAGGAUACAGAAAGGAAACUAGAAAAAUAGAGUUCUUUAAUAUACAUGGACGUAAAGAGCUAUACAUAAUGUUUCAAGCAAGGUCCAUUUCAUGUGUGCGUUUCCAUCGAGGCCUUUAAUCCAUCAGGUAUGUGUGAAGCUUACGUCUCAGAACAAACAUAGAUACCUGCUGAAAACUCUCGAUAGUUUUUAAUAAACAGGGUUAAAUGUGAAGCAGUAAACUGGGCAAACACUGGAGUCUGCUGUCAGCAAGUUAGAUCAUAUAAAUACGCUGCGUCUGUCUGCAGUGUGUCUGAGAUCCUGAAACAUUUCCCCCUCCAACUGUCAGUCAAACCUGAGUUUGGAUGCAAACUGCACGCCAGCCACUGAGGUGUGUUAAAGGUCUGAAUAUUUAAACAUGUAGAAGAGACAUGAAAAUAAUAAAAAGGGUCAAUCUGAGGUGUAUAAAACAUGUUUUCUUAGAAAAGCUGGCAGACAUUUUGGCUUUUAGAGAUCCUCACUUGCAAAAGGAAACACAUUAAGAAACAGUUUCAGGGACCUUUUAACUUACUUGUUUCAUUUUUUGUACUGAAAGCCAACUAAAUGCUAUCAUCAGGGCAAAAAACCCACAUAAAAAU